rnacentral:lncRNA from 1 species
CCGAAGGCAGCGUAGUUCUAGGUUUUCUAGGUCUAGAAUUUCAAGUCUGGUGGCAUAAGGUCUUCUGCAACGAGUAGAGGAGUGGAGAACUCUUCUCGUGAAAUAUUUCUGGACUUUCUCCACUGUGUUUAUAUCUGAUACGUAAUGUGGGUUCCAGGGUGCCCCGGGAGUGAGGCAGGACCCUCGGUUUCAUGGCCUUGAGGGCUGCAGGGCAUCUGUGGGGGCCCCCUCCCAGUUGGAGAAAGGCUGUCCCCACCCCGGGCAUCCUCCCCCAGCCCUCCCACUCUGCCCUUCUCUUCCAGCUGCCAGCAGUCGGACGCCUACUGGUACACCGGCCGCCACUGUGACCAGAGCAUCAGCAAGGUGGGGGUGGCCGUGGGGGUGGCCCUGGGCCUGGCGUUCCUGCUGCUGGUCAUCCUGCUCCUGGCCGCCCUCCUCUGCUGGCAGCGCCGACGCUCAAGGAAGGACCCCAGGCGCUUGGAUUUGAACCCCAGCGAGGAGAAGUGGUACGAGAAUGAGCCGGACUGGGGGGCCAGGCCUCAGGGCCUCCCCCCACAGAGCCCCCCAGCCCAGCAACAGCAGCCAGGCCCCUCUGCCAGCACCAGCCAGGAGGACACCAGCCCCACGCCCACCCAGGGCAGAUUCCAGCCUCGGCUCGACCAAGUGGACACUUCCCUCCAGGUCCAGAAAAGGGGGGGAGGGGGCGUGUGGGUGGUGACCCUCCCUGGGAGACACAACCCAGGACAGGGAGGGAGGCGGGAGGAGCAGCCACCUUCCCAGGGAACCCAGAGCAAAGUGGCUGGGGGGGGGGGUUGCAAAGGGGGUGGCAGUGAACA